UACGAAGGGGGCUAGCGUUGCUCGGAAUCACUGGGCGUAAAGCGCGCGUAGGCGGAUUGCUAAGUCAGGGGUGAAAUCCUGGAGCUCAACUCCAGAACUGCCUUUGAUACUGGCGACCUUGAGUCCGGGAGAGGUGAGUGGAACUGCGAGUGUAGAGGUGAAAUUCGUAGAUAUUCGCAAGAACACCAGUGGCGAAGGCGGCUCACUGGCCCGGUACUGACGCUGAGGAGCGAAAGCCAGGGGAGCAAACGGG
rnacentral:rRNA from 1 species